AACUUUGUUGGUGUCUUUGACCGAGCACAGAACCAGAGUGCAAACCACAGCAUCCACCGAGCUGUCCUCCACUGCCUGCAGAUUCUCCCCCGACGCCACUAUGAAGUUGUCGUACUCCAGGCUGUCAUAAACUUACAGGCCUCAGGACCCUCUUUGCCUCCUGCAGAACUUUGUUGGUGUCUUUGACCGAGCACAGAACCAGAGUGCAAACCACAGCAUCCACCGAGCUGUCCUCUACCCCCUGCAGAUUCUCCCCAGACGCAACUAUGAAGCUGUCGUACACCAGAAGGUGUGAUCACGUGAAGGUGCCUCUGUGUUCUGUCUGGCUUCUUUUUAAAGUGGCUUCAGUGAGCAAACACUGUCAUGGCUGGUGGUGCAUUGCACAGCAAGGCUUCGUCCACUUGAGGCUCAUCAGCGAGGACUGGAAAAGAUGCUCAAGUGGCCCAGAAGGGGGAGUUGAUGUAGGCUAAAAGUCUAAAGCUGUUGUUUCCUUUCACCUCCUAACAGGAUUAGAGGAAGAUUAACUACUGCCCGCAACCUUUGACCACACAGUAUCUGCUUCCAUGACUGCACUCCCACAGGGCUUGAACCAUAUCCUUAAAAAUGUAGGACGUUUUUACAACAGUGCCCUAGAAGUAUUGUUUUUGGUUCUCUAAAGAACUUUAUUUUUAUUUAUCUUUUAUUCUCAUGUGAAGGACAAAUGUUUUAUGCAUAUUAAUGAUUUCUCAUUUAACCACACUAAGAGAUUAUUAUUAUUAAUUAUCAGGUUCUGUAUAUCUUUUGAUAGAUUUUUCUCAUUUGUUUAUGGCUAUGAGUUGCAUUAUGGGACUUUCUCAAGUUUUGAUGUUGAAAAUUCAACUCUCCAGUUUAACAAUGUGACUUUUAUUGAAGUUUUAGAUGUUUGAAACAAUAUAAUGUAUAAUAAGUAAUGUAUAUAGAAGUAAGGCUGUAAAAUACAGAAAAACUGCUGACAAUUUUUUGUAUCAUUUCACAUUAGGGCUGCACAAUAUAUCGUUUCAACAUCAAUAUCCCAAUGUGUGCAUUCGCAAUAGUCACAUCGCAUAGAUAGGCAAUGUUGAGUUGAUCAUAUUUGAGCAAGUCUCAGUUCAGAAAAUGAGAUUUAUGGAGUUCUUGCAGAGUUUAAUCGUAAUUAAUUUUAUAAUUUGCAUGUUUUUAAGGCUUGAGGUGUGUUCAGGCACAGGACAUUUUACCAAUUGGAAGUUAAAUAGGAAGUUUAUUAAGGGGAUAUUAAAGAAUAAUCAUAUUAAAUUAUUUAUACAAUGAA